ensembl:lncRNA
AAUUGGCAGUGCUGAUGUCGUUAAUGUCUCUGAUUCAUUUCCCAAAGAGAAGAGAGAAACAUAGGCGGAGAGGAAGCUGGGAUUUAUUUGGAUUCUUUGCUUCCAAAUGCAACACCCCCUCCAAUUACAUCUCUUACUACCUCAAUUAACCAUUAGCCCAAGGUUAUUUUUUUUCCCUCCAGGGUGGUGAGUAAGCAAAAUGCUUGAGCAGCAACCUCUAUGCUAAUUCUGCAGUAGAGGCUGACUGAGAUUGUGAGAAGCCCUGCUCUAUUUGCAUUCAUUCAGCCGUCCCUUUGUAAAACAGUGACCCACCCUGCGGUAAUUGUAAAAUCCACUGCGCUGACCAGGAGAAUCCCAGAGUUCCAGCUCACUGCUACCUCUGCUCUUCCCUCAAGAACAGGAUCAAGGAGUUUGCAGACUGUGUCUUGAUGGAGCAGCUGAACACACAGUAAAUGCUCCCAGGAGCGUCCCCUGUGCCUGCACACAAGAGGUGUGAGCCCUGCGCCUGGCUGAGCUUGUGGACAAGACCCUUCCUGGUCUGGCUUGAAAGUUAUCAUCUAAAUUCAACUAAUGACCGAAGAAUAUGGAACCACAGGAGUCAUGAGGAUUUCGUUAAUCUGUGUCAGCUGUUUGUGGUUUGGUCCUUUGCGGUUCGUUCUGAACAGAUGGACGCAAUGUAAUCACAAGGAAGAGGGCCACGGAGGACGCAGUGUCAGAGCGAUGCAGUGUGAGAAAGACCCGACUGGGCGGUGCUGGCUUCGGAGAGAGAAAUGGCCGACAGAAAGGGAGUGCAAGCAGUCUCUAGAAGCUGGAAAAGACAAGAUAACUGAUUCUGCCCUGGAGCCUCUAGAAGGAAACGCCACCCUGCUGGCAGCUUGACUUUAGACCAAUGAGACCCAUUUUGGACUUCUGACCUUCAGCAGCGUAAGCUCUGGAGCUGAGAAGUCAAAGAUCAAGCUGCUGCAUAUAGUGACUUUCUGAAGAUCCUCUUCUGGGUUUGAAGCUGGUCCCUUCCUACCGGGCCUUCACGCACCGGAAGGGGCAAGGGAUCUCUGUGGGUCUGUUAUGAUGGGCCACUAAUCCCCUUCAUGAGCCUUCCUUUAGGACUGAAGCACCUCCCCAAGGCCGCACCUACUAAUGCUGUCACCCUUGGGGGUUAAGAUUUCAUUCCAGCUAACUCCCAGGAAAAGUCCCUGGCUUCCUGUUUCUCGUCUCCUUUCUCCCCUUAUUUCCCCAUUCUUCGUCAGAAAGGUCCAGAACCAUGGCAGGAAGGGCAGGCAGCCAUAAUGAUCAAGUCAGAAUUGUGUUUGGCACAUGGGGGAAAAGGAAAUGACAGGGAACCUCCACACAGGAAUUAUUUUUGUUCUGAUACAGAGCUGAAUUAGUGUUGUCCAUUUCAAAGCAAUCGCCUUGAGCGGCUCAACCCUUUAUUAACAAUGCUCCAAACAUUUUGGGAUAUUUAUUCUUGUAAAGUGAAAGUGUCAGUUAGUCAUAUCUGCCUCUUUGCGACCCUAUGGACUGUAGUCUGCCAGGCUCCUCUGUCUGUGGAAUUCUCCAGGCAAAAGUACUGGAGUGGAUAGCCAUUCCCUUCUCCAGGGGAUCUUCCCAACCCAGGGAUCGAACCCAGGUCUCCUGCACUGCAGGUGGAUUCUUUACUGAUU